UUUUUUACAAGUUGUAAACAAAGUGUUUUUGUGAAUAUGCUAACGUAGCUAGCGUGUAGCGGUGUCGGACUAUGGCUAUGUACAAAUUCAUUCCCUUCUCUGUUACUAUGAAACAUUAGCAAAUAUGAUAAAUAUGUUUUUUUUUUUUUCAUAAAAUUGUUAAAACGCAAUGCAUUGUGGUCUAAAAUCGCCAAUCUAGUUAACAUUGAUGUACACCGUUUUAUUGCACAGAAUUCUGGGAAAAUUAUGUGGCACUAGAUUUUGAAAUUGUAGAUACGGACAGCACUACAAAAUGGUGAACACACUAAAUAGUACACUAUGUCGUGAGUAGUAAAGGAAUUUGGACAGUGUUUUAUUUACGCAUUACUAACACGGUUAGCAUGAUUACGGUAACGUUUGGUUUAGCGGUAUCGGUCCGCUUUUGUACAUGUUGCAAAUAAAGGUGGUAGUUACUGGUUCUGGAAUUAUGCUAACGUGGCUAACAUGUAGCAGUGUAUGACUGUGUGUGUGUUUUUUUUUUAACAUCUUAUUAACAAGGUUGAGAGUUAGCUUUGUUACUGUAACAUUUGUUUCUGGUAUUAUGCUAACGCAGCUAUUUUGUAGUGAUUUUUUUUUAAGUGUCACUAGCAAAGUUGGGAGUUAGCUUAGUCACUGUAAUGUUUGUUUUAGCGUUAUUGGUCUGUUUGUGUUGCAUACAAGGAUGGUAGUUACUGGUUCUUGAAAUAUGCUAGUGUGGCUAACGUAUAGCAAUAUCAGACUGUGUUUUUUUUUUCUUUACAUCUUAACAACAAGGUUAGGAGUUAGCAUAGUCACUGUAACGUUUGUUUUUUACGCAUUGCAAACAAGAUUGGGAGUUGUACGCAUUGGUAUCAUGCUAACGCAGCUAAUAUGUAGCAAUGUUGAAAUAUGUUUUUUUUAAGUGUCACUAGCAAAGUUGGAAGUUAGCUUAGUCAAAGUAUUUUUUUAGCUGUAGCAGUCUGUUUUUGACGUGUCGCAAACAAUGUUGGGAGUUACUGGUUCUUGACUUAUGCUAAUUCAGCUAACAUGUAGCAGUAUCUGACUGUGUGUUUUUUUUUAAAUCUUACAGGGUUGGAAGUUAGCAUAGUCACUGUAACAUUUAUUUUAGUGUUAUCAGUUUUUUAUGUUUUGCAAACAAUAUUGGGAGUCACAGGUACUUGUAUUAUGCUAACGCAGCUAAUGUGUAGCAACAAAGUUGGAAGUUAGCAUAAUAGUCACAGGAAUAUUUGUUUUAGCCGUAGAAGUCUGUUUUUUGUGUCGCUAACAAGGUUGGAAGUUACAGGUACUGGUAAUAUGCUAAUGUGGCUAACGCUUAGCGUGAUAGAAACAAGUUCUAGAAUUACUGUGAAUACAGUUAUUAUGCCUUUUAGUUCAGUGCAACUUAUACAUUAAAUAAGUUUGAAAAUUGUCCAUUCAUUGACGGUAUACCUUAUAAUCCGGUGCGUCCUAUUGUCUGGAAAAUACAAUCUUUCCUAAUAACAUUUUUGUGAAUCAGCAGCAGAUGAAGAAAUGAGGUUGGAAUAAGAACUUAUAUGUGAAAAAGAAAAUAUCACAAACUCUCCGCUCUAAGCUCUCAACAUUGAUAAAAUGACAGUUUGGGUUUUUUUUAUUUUGCCUAAAAA